AUGAGUUGCAUCAGCUGGAACUGCCGGGGGCUUGGGAACCCCGAGGCAGUUCGCGAGCUUCGUAGUAUAGUGAAGCUGGAAGGACCCACUCUUCUCUUCGUCAUGGAAAUGAAAAUUAAAGGGAAGAGAGUGCAAGACUUACAGAGUCAUCUUGGUUUCGGCGGAUGUUUUGCUGUAGAUAGUGUUGGUCUAAGUGGGGGCAUAGGCCUCUUUUGGACUAAAGAUGUAAUGGUAGAACUGAAGAACUUUAAUUCUGCACAUAUAGACGCGAAGUUGAAAUAUAAGGACCAAAACUCUUUUGAGUGGAUGUUUACUGGUUUUUACGGAGCACCUCGAGCUGAGGGUCAUCACCAUAGCUGGAGGUUUUUGCGUACUUUAUAUGCCGUGCCAUACUCGGUGUGGAUAUGUGUCGGUGACUUCAACAAAAUGUUAUAUGCAUGUGAACAUUUUAGCAGUGCAGCAAGGCCGGAGAGCCAGAUGCCGCUUUUCGUGAAGUUACGGAUGAUGUGGCCUUCCAAGAUCUGGGAUGGUUCAGCACUGCGUACACCUGGGACAAUCGUCGGGCAGGUGUAG
rnacentral:rRNA from 1 species